rnacentral:rRNA from 1 species
ACUCCUACGGAGGCAGCAGUGAGGAAUAUUGGACAAUGGGUGGAAGCCUGAUCCAGCCAUCCCGCGUGUAGGAUGACGGCCUUAUGGGUUGUAAACUACUUUUAUCUGGGGAUAAACCUACUCACGUGUGAGUAGCUGAAGGUACCAGAAGAAUAAGCACCGGCUAACUCCGUGCCAGCAGCCGCGGUAAU